UACGUAGGUGGCAAGCGUUGUCCGGAUUUACUGGGCGUAAAGGAUGCGUAGGCGGACAUUUAAGUCAGAUGUGAAAUACCCGAGCUUAACUUGGGUGCUGCAUUUGAAACUGGGUGUCUAGAGUGCAGGAGAGGUAAGUGGAAUUCCUAGUGUAGCGGUGAAAUGCGUAGAGAUCCGGAGGAACACCUGUGGCGAAGGCGGCCCCCUGGGCCGCACCUGACGCUGAGGCGCGAAAGCUAGGGGAGCAAACAGG
rnacentral:rRNA from 1 species